AAUGCUAAAAGAAUGGAAAUUUAAAAAAAAACUUUUUUAAAAAUAAAAAUUGAAUUUUUUUUAAUUUGUGCAAAAACAAUUAUAUUUAUUAAAGACAAGAAGACCCUAAGAAUUUAAGAUUUUACAAUUAAAAAGUUUUUUUUUUAAAAUCUUGAUUGGGGCGAUCAAAAAAUAUUAAUAACUUUUUAAAAUUUAAAUUGAUCUAUUAUUAAUAAACUAAUGAAUUAAAUACUCUAGGGAUAACAGCG
rnacentral:rRNA from 1 species